CGGGUUCUCUUCCAUUUCAGCUGGGUUCUUUAAUGCUUGAUUUUCAGCUCAAAUGAAGCAAUCAGUUUGCUUAUCAACACAUUCGCCGAAAAAAGCAAUAAACGAUGCAAUAAUUAACAACUACAAAAUUUCUCAUCUUAUCAAACAGAUUGAAGGAGGGAAUGAAGAGGAGGAGUAUUAACAAGGGAGAAGCAAUUUAAAGUAGAGACAACUCCAAGUGAAGUUGAAUACAAGCACCAUCCCACAACUUUGCACUCCAAAACAGAGAAUAAAGGCAAAGGCUCCAACAAAAAGAGGCAGGAGAAUAGUGAAAUCACAAUAGGAUAUAAUGACACAAGAGUUUUGUGCAACAAGUGCAAGCCAAACAAUAGAGAGAAAAGCCACUGUGGUUGCAUCACACCAAGAUUAUUAUAUUCAUCAUAAGUUGGGUCCUCUUCUGGUGGAGGAUUAAGAGAGGAACAAUGCAAAAUUCCAGUGGUUGAGCUUUCACAUAAGCUAAUUCCAGGAUUGAAGUUUUCUAUAGUUGAGCUUGAGAAAUGUAAACGAGCUUGAAAUUUACUGUCACAACUUGAAAUUCAAGUAUUGCAUCUUGACUCAGUUUAAGGAAUUUCAUUUGGUAUCAUUAUGUUUACGAAAUUCACAUGUAACGGUGACUUGUGAUCUGUAGUUUUCACAAGGGAAAAUAAAAAGAAGAAGAGCAAAAGCAGAUACAAGAUAUCUUACCUUUCAA